rnacentral:SRP_RNA from 1 species
GCCGGGCGCGGUGGCACAUGCCUGUAGUCCCAGCUACUCGGGAGGCUGAGAUGGGAGGAUUGCUUGAUCCCAGGAGUUCUGGGCUGCAGCGCGCUAUGCUGAUCAGGUGUCCGCACUAAGUUCGGCAUCAAUACGGUGACCUCCCGGGAGCGGGAAACCACCAGGUUGCCUAAGGAGGGGUGAACCGGCAGAGGUCAGAAAUGGAGCAGGUCAAAACUCCUGUGCUGAUCAGUAGUGGGAUCGCGCCUGUGAAUAGCCACUGCACUCCAGCCUGGGCAACAUAGAGAGACCCCGUCUCU